UAAAAUGCACCUGUGGCACAACAAAGUUUAUUUUGUCCUGUAAUAGCCCCCUGUCUGCCUCUCUGCCUUGGGUGAAGUGGUGUCUGGUUUGAUAAGUGUCUGAUGUCCUGUUGGUCCAUUGCUUGAGGCGUCGUUGGUAGCUGUCCCUUUGGUGUCAUUGUUAUAGUGAAGCCAGUUAACUGACUCAUCAGUUUUAAAUCGACAUCGGUCAAGUAAUUUCCUGGAGGGACCUCUUUGGCAUCCGCCUGCUUUCUUGCUUUGUUUCUGCCCUUCUCACACAAUGCAGUUACAAAAAGAUGAUGAAGUGCGCUAAUUUAUUUCACAUUUAUAGUCCUCCUCAUUAUUUUCCUGUUCAUCCAAUUACACUCCGCUGCAUAGAACUACAGAAUAUCAAAGAUGGCAAUAAACAAAAGCUUAAAAAAGGCUGGAAAAGAGUGGCAAGGUUUAACAUCUGUGAAGUGUUGCAGAUGUUUUGCCAUUGUAGGAGUGAAGUAUGAAGCAUGAAAUUGUUAUGUUGAAGACAUGAUUGUACAAUCCUGGAGAUGACCAGUGAAUUAUUGUCUGAAGCAGAGCAUUGAAUUAACAAGUUUGAUGACAUUCACAAUGAAAAGUAAUCACCUAGGAUUGGGGGAACAAUCACAUCAGCAGUGUUUAUUUUAAGAAGGAUGAAAAAGUUAGUGAAGCAAUGAUGUAGAUAUGCAGACAACAAAAAAAGGACACCUAAUCAACUGAAGGACAAAACAAAGAAUGAACCCACCAGUGCUCAAGCUGCCCUUUCAGUCAGUCCCCAUAAGAAGUUGCUAUGAUGCGAGUCAACCCCCGCAUUCUUUUGCAACCUCAAAAGUUUAGCUAUUUAUUACAACUUUCCUGUAAAAUGUUUCAUAAAUCGUUUUGACUUUCAAAACAUUGAUCCCCUAAAUCUGCAAUGUUGUAUAAUCAUCAGAGGAUUUGAUAUGCUGUGACUUUAAUAUCUCUGGAAUGCUGCAUAUGAGAGACUUGCUUUAUUUGCUGUGAAGCAGACAGAGGCUCUGUUCUAUCGAGGCUUCACUGAGAUAAUUUCCCUUUCAUGAUCUUCCUAUGGUCCAGUGUGAAACUACAUAGGCUUUAUGAAGCCUCCAUACAAUAAAUCCAGUAUAUUAAACUCAAUACUCUAUGGGUGCUUUUCAACUGUUGGAACUUUCCCCAGAAACUAGUAACCUUUUGAGAACUCUGUGCUUUUGGUAGCAGGAACCAGGGUAUAAAUUGAGUAUUUGAUCUAUCCCUUGAAAAGUCUCUGCUGGGGGUAGUACUUUCCAAAGGGAGGCAGGGCCCACAGACAAACUCAUUAACCUUAAUUAAAAUGAGUCAUCUUCGGUGGACACUCAGGGUCGAGUAUGUCUGUUCCUCUUCUUGGUCCUUGUAUGUCUUCAGGUGGGCGAAGAGGCCGAUCCUGGACCUGCAUAUUUUGGGGCAGUAUGAACAUGGGUGGGUAGUGGCGAUUGUGGGUUUGGGUGGGACCUUCUUGGUGGAAGUGAUCCCCUUUCUGCCUCUGCGCUUGUCUUCUGCGUCACCGUGGAGAUCGGCAUUAUACUGCGCAGCUCCAUCUAGGACAAGUUGUCUCCAGGCUUCCCUGUUUGAUGCUGUGGCCUCCCAGGUCUCCAAGGUCUCCCAGGGUUAGCUGUGUGCACAGACACAAACACACACAGAGUGCAAGAGAUUGUACUGGAAUAUAUCCUGUGUAAACUGAUGUUUGAUCAAUAAAACUAU